GACGAACGCUGGCGGCGUGCUUAACACAUGCAAGUCACGGGGGCCCGCAAGGGCAACCGGCGAACGGGUGCGUAGCACGUGAGCAAUCUGCCGAUCUCUGGGGGAUAGCCGGCCCAACGGCCGGGUAAUACCGCAUACGUUCAUCGGGGGACAUCCCCUGGUGAGGAAACCUCCGGGGGAGAUCGAGGAGCUGCGCGACCUAUCAGCUAGUUGGUGCGGUAACGGCGCACCAAGGCGACGACGGGUAGCUGGUCUGAGAGGAUGGCCAGCCACAUUGGGACUGCGACACGGCCCAGACUCCUACGGGAGGCAGCAGUGGGGAAUAUUGCGCAAUGGACGAAAGUCUGACGCAGCGACGCCGCGUGUGGGAUGGAGCUCUUCGGGGUGUAAACCACUGUUGCCCGGGAAGAACCUCCCCUUUCGAGGGGACUGACGGUACCGGGUGAGGAAGCACCGGCUAACUCUGUGCCAGCCGCCGCCGUAA
rnacentral:rRNA from 1 species